GGUGGCUCAGUGGUAGAGUGCUUGCCUUGCAUGCAUGAAGCCCUGGGUUCGAUUCCUUAACACCA
rnacentral:tRNA from 1 species